GGCGCGGCCAACACAGCGGCUGUGGGACUUCACCCAGAGUGGCCCCAUUGUGAGCCGGGCCACGGGCCGCUGCCUGGAGGUGGAGAUGUCCAAAGAUGCCAACUUUGGGCUCCGGCUGGUGGUACAGAGGUGCUCGGGGCAGAAGUGGAUGAUCAGAAACUGGAUCAAACACGCACGGCACUGACCCCACCUCCGCCCGGACCCCCACAGACCUCGGGAAGGCGCUGGGCCGAGCCAGUGUGGCUGAGUGACCGGGGUGUGCCCGGCAGACACAGCAGGACAGGGCUCUAUGUGCGGCCAGGACAGCAGAGGCUGAGGGGCCGGGGUGUGGCUGAGUGACCAGGGUGUCACCCACUGCAUCUGGAGUACAGCUUCUCCUAGGACAGGCGGCUCUACCCGAGGGAGGGCGUCUGGGGACAGUGAUGCCAACUCAAACACGUGCCUUCUCCACGGUAUCUCCUGGCCAGGCUGCUGGGACAGCCGCCGCCUCUGCAUGUACCACAGCCCCCCACGCCCCAUAGGGAGGCCAAGCCCCGGACCAUGCACCAGGCUGCACCCUGGUGUCUUCCACCCGCAGGCCUCCCAUGCUCCAAGCAGCCUCCCCCAGCACUUGCGGCCGCUCAGCCCUCCAACCAAGACCUAAGUCACACAUCAUAAUGCAGCUCCUUGUGGUCUGGUAAGAGGGGUGCUGGAGGACAUGGACAGCGACAAACCUGAGGCCGUGUCUAGGAGGCUGGCACGACUGCUUCAGCAGAGACCAAAUAAAGAGAGGAUUAGGCAGCAGC
rnacentral:lncRNA from 1 species